rnacentral:rRNA from 1 species
UACAGAGGGGGCAAGCGUUAUUCGGAAUUAUUGGGCGUAAAGGGCGCGUAGGCGGCUUGGCAAGUGGAUGGUGAAAUCCCUCGGCUUAACUGAGGAACUGCCAUCCAGACUGCUUUGCUUGAGGCCGGGAGAGGUGAGUGGAAUUCCCAGUGUAGCGGUGAAAUGCGUAGAUAUUGGGAGGAACACCAGUGGCGAAGGCGACCUUCUGGACUAAUACUGACACUGAGGCACGAAAGCGUGGGGAGCAAACAGG